rnacentral:rRNA from 1 species
UACGAAGGGGGCUAGCGUUGCUCGGAAUUACUGGGCGUAAAGGGCGCGUAGGCGGCACUGUUAGUCAGGCGUGAAAGUCCUGGGCUCAACCUGGGAACUGCGCUUGAUACGGCAGAGCUAGAGGAUGGAAGAGGCUCGCGGAAUUCCCAGUGUAGAGGGUGGAAUUCGUAGAUAUUGGGAAGAACACCGGUGGCGAAGGCGGCGAGCUGGUCCAUUACUGACGCUGAGGCGCGACAGCGUGGGGAGCAAACAGG